CUAUAGACGGCCUCUAGUGCCUCUGUCCGCUCCUCCGGCUCGUGAUUUGCCGCCUCAACCUCAUGCACUUUGGGAUCUUCCCUGCGCCUAGCACCCCCAUAGUCUGGACCAAUCCUUGCCCAUCGGGUCGCCAGAAGCUUCUCGGCCUCGGCACACUCUUCCCGCACCUUCUGCAGGUUCGGAAUCUGCAUCGGGUAAGUCACCCUCGAGAUGGAGUCCCUGACAUUUAUCUUGAUGAUCUUAAUCAGCUCGUAGUCCGAAAAUGGAUUCACCAAUCUCGACUUCAACAACAGCAUCUCCUGGAUGUACUGGUCUGUCGACUCCCCGUGUCGCUGCCGUCGUUCUCUGAGCUCCUGCUCCCGCUCGAACUCUGUCUUCCGCACCUGAAACUGUUGCUGGAGUCCAUAUCUCAGACUAGGCCAGUCCGGCACUCCUGCGGUCCGUACAUACAUCCAGUACCAGUCUCUAGCAGGGCCGUAACCAGAGUGUGAAAAGCUUUCAAUACUUCAGCCCAUGCUUAUCUUAUCUUUUGUACGGGUCUGGCCACUGAUUUUAUUCUUUUACUUUUUCUUUAGGUUCCCGCCCGAUCUCUCGUACUUCUUCCCGGAAACUGACCCUCUCAAUAUAACCUUGACGGCCACGUUUCCUUCUCUUCUCCUUGCCACCUUGCAACCCUUUUUCAGCCUCCCCGGAUCCACAGCAGAGGCCGCUGUCUGAUCUUCUUCUCCAGCCCUGUCGGUUAUCGGCUACUUCAGAAAGCCGUCCAUAACAAGCCUAGUACU
rnacentral:lncRNA from 1 species